rnacentral:rRNA from 1 species
UACAGAGGUCUCGAGCGUUAGGCGGAAUCACUGGGCUUAAAGCGUGUGUAGGCGGAUCGGUAAGUACCUUGUGAAAUCCCACAGCUUAACUGUGGAACUGCUUGGUAUACUGCCAGUCUUGAGCCAGCUAGGGGCUACCGGAACAAAUGGUGGAGCGGUGAAAUGCGUAGAUAUCAUUUGGAACGCCAAUGGUGAAAACAGGUAGCUAGGGCUGUGCUGACGCUGAGACACGAAAGCCAGGGGAGCAAACGGG